GGAAUCUUGCGCAAUGGCCGAAAGGCUGACGCAGCGACGCCGCGUGCGGGAGGACGCUUUUCGGAGUGUAAACCGCUGUCAGGUGGGACGAAGGUCCGGGGGAGGAAAUGCUCUCGGGAUGACGGUACCGCCAAAGGAAGCACCGGCUAACUCCGUGCCAGCAGCCGCGGUAAUACGGAGGGUGCGAGCGUUGUUCGGAAUUAUUGGGCGUAAAGCGCACGUAGGCGGCUUUGUAAGUCUCACUGUGAAAGCCCGGGGCUCAACCCCGGGACUGCAGGGGAUACUGCGAGGCUGGAGUCAAGUAGAGGUUGGUAGAAUUCCGGGUGUAGCGGUGGAAUGCGUAGAGAUCCGGAGGAAUACCAGAGGCGAAGGCGGCCAACUGGACUUGUACUGACGCUGAGGUGCGAAAGCGUGGGGAGCGAAC
rnacentral:rRNA from 1 species